UACAGAGGGGGCGAGCGUUGUUCGGAAUUACUGGGCGUAAAGGGCGCGUAGGCGGCCUCUUAAGUCGAACGUGAAAUCCCCGGGCUCAACCCGGGGACUGCGUCCGAUACUGGGGGGCUUGAAUCCGGGAGAGGGAUGUGGAAUUCCAGGUGUAGCGGUGAAAUGCGUAGAUAUCUGGAGGAACACCGGUGGCGAAGGCGGCAUCCUGGACCGGUAUUGACGCUGAGGCGCGAAAGCCAGGGGAGCAAACGGG
rnacentral:rRNA from 1 species